GACAGUUUGGCCGAGUGGUCGAAGGCGCUAGCUUAGGCGCGAGUCCGAAAGGGCGCGAGUUGGAAUCUCGCAACUGUUA
rnacentral:tRNA from 1 species